UCAGAAGAGGGUGAUGAGGGUCGGGUGGGAGGGCUCUCACGGUGACUGAAAAACUCACUCCAGCAUCUGAGCUGAGUUGAGUGUAUGUGAUCCCACAGUUCACCUUUCUACAUCAGACCGCAAGACCUUUCCUCUCGGACAGCUGCAGUGAGAUCGCUGUCACUAAAGAUGGAGGGUGAGAAGGGAACAUUAGAGGCAGGUACCAAAGAGCAACCUGAUAUGACGGGUCCCCUGACAGCCGAACAGCUGGCAGCUAUAGAGGAUGAAGAGAUCCUCAAUAAUAUGCUAGAUAAGGCUGUGGAUUUUGAGGAGAGGAAAAUGAUCCGCGCUGCCAUGAGAGAACUGCUGAAGAGAAAGA